rnacentral:lncRNA from 10 species
CGGCCGCUGUGGCUCCACAUGGCGACCCCUCCCUGGAUGGCGAAGGUGCCCUCUAGCUCCUCCAACUGGAUGACGACUGAAGAGGCCCAGGCUCGGGAACCCCUCUCACCCUUGCCGAGCCCAGGGUAAUGCUUCAGGUAGCGGAGACAAAUGAAGACACUCGACCAUCUCUAAAUGCUACCAAACACAUAGAGUCUACUCUGAAUGCAGAUACUGCUCUCAUAAAAAUUCUGCAAAGGAGGAAGGGGUUGGUGCAGAACUGUUCCGAUGCUGAUCAACUGAGAUGCAAAACCCAUGUUCACAUCAUGAGUGAGUCUUCUAACUCGGACAAUGCAAUCAACAAAUUCUAAGACCAAAUUCCGGUGGCACUGGCUCCAAAGCUCCUGAGUGUGGAAGGAGGUGAACAGGGAAAAGCAGAGAGGACAAAAGUCACAUCCCCUCCCCACAGACCCAUACUGGGGAAGGGUGGAAGAUUUAGCUGCGAGUCAAGUUCAGAAUUUUGAUUAACAUCUUGGCAUGCACAUUCGAAUUUCAGAAUCAAGACUGUUGGCCAUAAAAAAUGACUAUAGCCUUGUGUAUUACCUGAACUGAGCAGUAAAAAAAAAGUCAUGGUCCUUCUGGGGCUUUUAUUCUGAGACAGGAACCCUGAACAGGCAGGAGAAAGGGAAUGUUGACAGAGAAACAAAGACAGUUGGCGACACACGCUGACCGCCAUGCGGACGUCCAUCAAACCCAGCACUGGCCCUGGGUACGUGCGCCUUUGCUAUUACCCCAAUACAUUUUCUUCUGCAGAGCAAGCAACAGAACACAUGCAGACCUUAAUAAAUACCACUGGGUAAUGUGACAAUGGCCAAACUCUCCUCACGGGGGAGAGAGUGUCCCCCAGUUUUGCUCCCUUUUAAUUUCCAGGGUUCAUAAGUAGCUCUAAAGCUUUGCUCUACAAGGUUGAUACAUACGAUAUUAAUGUUUCCCCUAAGCAGUAUAACAUAAAUAUAUUUGCUAUCUUGA